UACGGAGGGGGCUAGCGUUGUUCGGAAUUACUGGGCGUAAAGCGCGCGUAGGCGGCUUUGUAAGUUAGAGGUGAAAGCCCGGAGCUCAACUCCGGAACUGCCUUUAAGACUGCAUCGCUAGAAUUGUGGAGAGGUGAGUGGAAUUCCGAGUGUAGAGGUGAAAUUCGUAGAUAUUCGGAAGAACACCAGUGGCGAAGGCGACUCACUGGACACAUAUUGACGCUGAGGCACGAAAGCGUGGGGAGCAAACAGG
rnacentral:rRNA from 1 species